GUGGGGAAUUUUGGACAAUGGGCGCAAGCCUGAUCCAGCCAUUCCGCGUGCAGGAUGAAGGCCUUCGGGUUGUAAACUGCUUUUGUACGGAACGAAAAGGUUCUCUCUAAUACAGGGGGCUGAUGACGGUACCGUAAGAAUAAGCACCGGCUAACUACGUGCCAGCAGCCGCGGUAAUACGUAGGGUGCAAGCGGUAAUCGGAAUUACUGGGCGUAAAGCGUGCGCAGGCGGUGAUGUAAGACAGAUGUGAAAUCCCCGGGCUCAACCUGGGAACUGCAUUUGUGACUGCAUUGCUGGAGUGCGGCAGAGGGGGAUGGAAUUCCGCGUGUAGCAGUGAAAUGCGUAGAUAUGCGGAGGAACACCGAUGGCGAAGGCAAUCCCCUGGGCCUGCACUGACGCUCAUGCACGAAAGCGUGGGGAGCAAACAGGAUUAGAAACCCCUGUAGUCC
rnacentral:rRNA from 1 species